rnacentral:rRNA from 1 species
GACGAACGCUGGCGGCGUGCUUAACACAUGCAAGUCGAGCGGAGCGGCGAACGAGUGAGUAACGCGUGUGUAACUUCCCCCCUCUCUGGGAUAACAGUUGGAAACGGCUGCUAAUACCGGAUAGUGGGGGAUGACUCGCGUCCUAUCAGUUUGUGGGUGGGGUAGUGGCCUACCAAGGCGACGACGGGUAGCCGGCCUGAGAGGGCGACCGGCCACAUUGGGUUGAGAGACGGCCCAAACUCCUACGGGAGGUAGCAGAGGGGGAUAUUGCACAAUGCGCGAAAGCCUGAUGCAGCUACGACGGUUGGGGGAUGAAGGCUUUCGGGUUAAACCUCUCCUUUCAAGGCUUGGGUAGGUGGAGAAGAAGCGCAGGCUAACUACGUGCCAGCAGCCGCGGUAAUUC